rnacentral:rRNA from 1 species
UACAGAGGUCUCAAGCGUUGUUCGGAUUCAUUGGGCGUAAAGGGUGCGUAGGUGGCGCGGUAAGUCGGGUGUGAAAUCUCGGAGCUUAACUCCGAAAUGCAUUCGAUACUGCCGUGCUUGAGGACUGGAGAGGAGACUGGAAUUCAUGGUGUAGCAGUGAAAUGCGUAGAGAUCAUGAGGAACACCGGUGGCGAAGGCGGGUCUCUGGGCCGUAACUGACGCUGAGGAGCGAAAGCAUGGGGAGCGAACAGG